CACAGGGUUGCCAAAGGGCCCAGAAUGUCUUCCAUUCACCUCCACCACAGGGUUUCCAAAGGGCCAAGGAUUUCUUCAAUUCACCUCCACCACAGGGUUUCCAAAGAGCCCAAAAUGGAGUUAACCCAUAUUCAAUGAAAGCAGGUGCUCCAAUUAGCAAAUAUUCAGGUUAUCCAGGUACAACUACCAAAGCUGGGCCUGGAAUAUCAGACACUGCCCUGGCUCACAUGCUCAGACCUCUCUCACCGAUGUGUGUGCCGGAAGAUGAUGGUGAAUGGGACUCUGGUUGGGAUCACAUGUCCUCCCCUGGGACUUCUACAUGUGUUGACUCUUCCCCUAGACAUUUUAAGGCUUUUUUAGGUACUACAUGAUUUAAUCCAGCUCACCUUUUUGCCACAACAAUCCAAAUUAAUCUAUUUUAGUCAAUGUAAUUCUGAGGUUGAUAUAAGUGCACCUUUUCAACAGUAAACUAUGUUUGUGGUAAGGGAUGUCAUUAAUUUUCUCUUUCUCACAUAGGCUAUUUUGCCAGAAAAAAAGGAUGCAGUGGAGCAUAGCAUACUUAGAAAAAAUAAAUAAACUCAAGCAUCUUGUGCUUAUAAUACUUCUUAUGAAAUCCAAUGAGACAAAGUUUGCUUAUGCCUGUUAUUUAUUCAUUGUAACUACAGUAGAUGUUAAACCAGCACUCCCACACUAUCAGUCCAUUGGAUACCAAAGAUACCAA